UGACUGUGGUGCAGAACAUGGAAGGG
rnacentral:piRNA from 1 species